CCUACGGGAGGCAGCAGUGAGGAAUAUUGGUCAAUGGGCGGAAGCCUGAACCAGCCAAGUCGCGUGAGGGAUUAAGGCCCUGCAGGUCGUAAACCUCUUUUGCCGGGGAGCAGUGGUCCGGACGCGUCCGGACCGGGAGAGUACCCGGAGAAAAAGCAUCGGCUAACUCCGUGCCAGCAGCCGCGGUAAUACGGAGGAUGCGAGCGUUAUCCGGAUUUAUUGGGUUUAAAGGGUGCGCAGGCGGAAGAUCAAGUCAGCGGUAAAAUUGAGAGGCUCAACCUCUUCGAGCCGUUGAAACUGGUUUCCUUGAGUGAGCGAGAAGUAUGCGGAAUGCGUGGUGUAGCGGUGAAAUGCAUAGAUAUCACGCAGAACUCCGAUUGCGAAGGCAGCAUACCGGCGCUCAACUGACGCUCAUGCACGAAAGUGUGGGUAUCGAACAGGAUUAGAUACCCCUGUAGUC
rnacentral:rRNA from 1 species